rnacentral:rRNA from 1 species
UACGGAGGGUGCAAGCGUUAUCCGGAUUCACUGGGUUUAAAGGGUGCGUAGGCGGGCAGGUAAGUCCGUGGUGAAAUCUCUGAGCUUAACUCAGAAACUGCCAUGGAUACUAUUUGUCUUGAAUAUUGUGGAGGUAAGCGGAAUAUGUCAUGUAGCGGUGAAAUGCUUAGAUAUGACAUAGAACACCAAUUGUGAAGGCAGCUUACUACACAGUUAUUGACGCUGAGGCACGAAAGCGUGGGGAUCAAACAGG